AUUUAAAUUGAAACUUUGGGUAAAAACGAUUUUAUGUCUCCGCACCGUAAGCAGUGAAGUGAGUUUAGGAGACAAUAUUGUAUUCUCGGUGACCUGGGUUCGUCAGAAUUUUCGUAGUAUCCAUCCGAACGGUGAGCGUUCGAGUAAAACUAAUUACUAAAGGAUUCAGUAGUCCGUUUUGUGGUUACUGCCAUAUGCGUACACCAUUGCCACAACUAAGGAGAGAUUGGGUAG